rnacentral:rRNA from 1 species
UACGUAGGUGGCAAGCGUUGUUCGGAAUUAUUGGGCGUAAAGGGCGCGUAGGCGGCUUGUUAAGUCGGUUGUGAAAGCCCGGGGCUCAACCCCGGAGAGUCGACCGAUACUGGCGAGCUAGAGUACGGAAGAGGUAGCUGGAAUUCCCGGUGUAGCGGUGAAAUGCGUAGAUAUCGGGAGGAACAUCGGUGGCGAAGGCGGCCAGCUGGGCCGUUGCUGACACUGAGGCGCGACAGCGUGGGGAGCAAACAGG